UACGGAGGGUGCAAGCGUUGUCCGGAAUCACUGGGCGUAAAGGGCGCGUAGGCGGCUCAUGAAGGCUGUGGUGAAAGUCCGGGGCUCAACCUCGGAUCGGCCGUGGCGACUCGUGGGCUGGAGCACUGUAGAGGCGGGUGGAAUUCCGGGUGUAGCGGUGGAAUGCGUAGAGAUCCGGAAGAACACCAGUGGGGAAGGCGGCCCGCUGGGCAGUGGCUGACGCUGAGGCGCGACAGCGUGGGGAGCAAACAGG
rnacentral:rRNA from 1 species